rnacentral:rRNA from 1 species
CAGCAGCCGCGGGAAUACGGAGGGUGCAAGCGUUAAUCGGAAUUACUGGGCGUAAAGCGCACGCAGGCGGUUUGUUAAGUCAGAUGUGAAAUCCCCGAGCUUAACUUGGGAACUGCAUUUGAAACUGGCAAGCUAGAGUCUUGUAGAGGGGGGUAGAAUUCCAGGUGUAGCGGUGAAAUGCGUAGAGAUCUGGAGGAAUACCGGUGGCGGAGGCGGCCCCCUGGACAAAGACUGACGCUCAGGUGCGAAAGCGUGGGGAGCAAACAGGAUUAGAUACCCCUGUAGUCCCUGUCUCUUAUAC